GAUGAACGCUAGCUACAGGCUUAACACAUGCAAGUCGAGGGACCGGCGCACGGGAGAGUAACCCGUAUCCAACCUGCCCUUUACUCGGGGAUAGCUUUUCACAAGAACGAUUAAUACCCGAUGUAAAGGAUGGGGAUGCGUUCCAUUAGGUUGUUGGUGAGGUAACGGCUCACCAAGCCUUCGAUGGAUAGUGGUGCUGAGAGGAAGGUCCCCCACAUUGGAACUGGGACACAGUCCAAACUCCUACGGGAGGCAGCAGUGAGGAAUAUUGGUCAAUGGGCGUUAGCCUGAACCAGCCAAGUAGCGUGAAGGAUGAAGGCUUAUGGGUCGUAAACUACUUUUAAAGAAGAAUAUGUAUUAUAUGAAUAAGGAUCGGCUAACUCCGUGCCAGCAGCCGCGGUAAUAC
rnacentral:rRNA from 1 species